rnacentral:lncRNA from 12 species
GCGGCUGCGCCCGGCCCGCGCUGGGGGUCUCCGGGCUCUGCGGGGCCGCGCGGGCGCGACGCGCUGGGGGAGCGGGCGCCUGGCCGGUCCCCGCGCGGCUGGGCUCCGCCGGGCCCGCCUCCCACGGCCAGGGCCACGGCCACCGCCGCUGUCACACUCGCACACACGCGCGCACGCAGAUGGCAACACCGCGUUCCGGGGCCCCUGCGCAGCCCAUUGGCCGGGCGGCGGCGGUAUGCAAAUGAGGCCGCCGGGGCCGCCCACGCCUCAUUGUUGCGUGGAGACCCGGGCGCCGGGCGGCGGGGCGGCGGGGCGGCGUGGGGAGCCCCCGGGUGUGGGUCGGGGCGGGCCCACGCAGGGCUGCCUGCGGGCGGGGGCUGCGGCACGGCCACGCGCGGGGAGGGAGGGCGCACCUCUCCUGCUUCUGGGACUCGGUGCGAAACCUGCCCUAGCUCGCCCGCAGCGUGCCUCCCCCAGGCGCAGUUUGGGUGGGGGUCCGUUUUCAGGCAGGGACGCUCCCCAAGUCCGCCUAGAGGAGAACCAGCAGUUAACGGGUAAUUUGCUGAUGGAUGCAGUGCUCGCUAAGCGCAGGGGUCUCCAAGGAGCUGUGAACCCCGUGCUCCCCACCCCGGAGGAACCACCACGCGCGGGACCCCGCCCCCUCGAGGCUGUGGACAGGAGUGAGCAGAAGCAUUCUUUCUGUGGUGUUGGAGAAGGUGAAGUGAGUGAGAGUAAUUGGCUUCCACAUUGGACCAUCACUUGCAGUUUCUAUAUCUGA